rnacentral:rRNA from 1 species
GGGUUGUGAGGUUAAGCGACUAAGCGUACACGGUGGAUGCCCUGGCAGUCAGAGGCGAUGAAGGACGUGCUAAUCUGCGAUAAGCGUCGGUAAGGUGAUAUGAACCGUUAUAACCGGCGAUUUCCGAAUGGGGAAACCCAGUGUGUUUCGACACACUAUCAUUAACUGAAUCCAUAGGUUAAUGAGGCGAACCGGGGGAACUGAAACAUCUAAGUACCCCGAGGAAAAGAAAUCAACCGAGAUUCCCCCAGUAGCGGCGAGCGAACGGGGAGGAGCCCAGAGCCUGAAUCAGUGUGUGUGUUAGUGGAAGCGUCUGGAAAGGCGCGCGAUACAGGGUGACAGCCCCGUACACAAAAAUGCACAUGCUGUGAGCUCGAUGAGUAGGGCGGGACACGUGGUAUCCUGUCUGAAUAUGGGGGGACCAUCCUCCAAGGCUAAAUACUCCUGACUGACCGAUAGUGAACCAGUACCGUGAGGGAAAGGCGAAAAGAACCCCGGCGAGGGGAGUGAAAAAGAACCUGAAACCGUGUACGUACAAGCAGUGGGAGCACGCUUAGGCGUGUGACUGCGUACCUUUUGUAUAAUGGGUCAGCGACUUAUAUUCUGUAGCAAGGUUAACCGAAUAGGGGAGCCGAAGGGAAACCGAGUCUUAACUGGGCGUUAAGUUGCAGGGUAUAGACCCGAAACCCGGUGAUCUAGCCAUGGGCAGGUUGAAGGUUGGGUAACACUAACUGGAGGACCGAACCGACUAAUGUUGAAAAAUUAGCGGAUGACUUGUGGCUGGGGGUGAAAGGCCAAUCAAACCGGGAGAUAGCUGGUUCUCCCCGAAAGCUAUUUAGGUAGCGCCUCGUGAAUUCAUCUCCGGGGGUAGAGCACUGUUUCGGCAAGGGGGUCAUCCCGACUUACCAACCCGAUGCAAACUGCGAAUACCGGAGAAUGUUAUCACGGGAGACACACGGCGGGUGCUAACGUCCGUCGUGAAGAGGGAAACAACCCAGACCGCCAGCUAAGGUCCCAAAGUCAUGGUUAAGUGGGAAACGAUGUGGGAAGGCCCAGACAGCCAGGAUGUUGGCUUAGAAGCAGCCAUCAUUUAAAGAAAGCGUAAUAGCUCACUGGUCGAGUCGGCCUGCGCGGAAGAUGUAACGGGGCUAAACCAUGCACCGAAGCUGCGGCAGCGACGCUUAUGCGUUGUUGGGUAGGGGAGCGUUCUGUAAGCCUGUGAAGGUGUGCUGUGAGGCAUGCUGGAGGUAUCAGAAGUGCGAAUGCUGACAUAAGUAACGAUAAAGCGGGUGAAAAGCCCGCUCGCCGGAAGACCAAGGGUUCCUGUCCAACGUUAAUCGGGGCAGGGUGAGUCGACCCCUAAGGCGAGGCCGAAAGGCGUAGUCGAUGGGAAACAGGUUAAUAUUCCUGUACUUGGUGUUACUGCGAAGGGGGGACGGAGAAGGCUAUGUUGGCCGGGCGACGGUUGUCCCGGUUUAAGCGUGUAGGCUGGUUUUCCAGGCAAAUCCGGAAAAUCAAGGCUGAGGCGUGAUGACGAGGCACUACGGUGCUGAAGCAACAAAUGCCCUGCUUCCAGGAAAAGCCUCUAAGCAUCAGGUAACAUCAAAUCGUACCCCAAACCGACACAGGUGGUCAGGUAGAGAAUACCAAGGCGCUUGAGAGAACUCGGGUGAAGGAACUAGGCAAAAUGGUGCCGUAACUUCGGGAGAAGGCACGCUGAUAUGUAGGUGAAGCGACUUGCUCGUGGAGCUGAAAUCAGUCGAAGAUACCAGCUGGCUGCAACUGUUUAUUAAAAACACAGCACUGUGCAAACACGAAAGUGGACGUAUACGGUGUGACGCCUGCCCGGUGCCGGAAGGUUAAUUGAUGGGGUCAGCGCAAGCGAAGCUCUUGAUCGAAGCCCCGGUAAACGGCGGCCGUAACUAUAACGGUCCUAAGGUAGCGAAAUUCCUUGUCGGGUAAGUUCCGACCUGCACGAAUGGCGUAAUGAUGGCCAGGCUGUCUCCACCCGAGACUCAGUGAAAUUGAACUCGCUGUGAAGAUGCAGUGUACCCGCGGCAAGACGGAAAGACCCCGUGAACCUUUACUAUAGCUUGACACUGAACAUUGAGCCUUGAUG